GUGCCAGCAGCCGCGGUAAUACGGAGGGUGCGAGCGUUAAUCGGAAUUACUGGGCGUAAAGGGUGCGUAGGUGGUUGAUUAAGUUAUCUGUGAAAUUCCUGGGCUUAACCUGGGACGGUCAGAUAAUACUGGUUGACUCGAGUAUGGGAGAGGGUAGUGGAAUUUCCGGUGUAGCGGUGAAAUGCGUAGAGAUCGGAAGGAACACCAGUGGCGAAGGCGGCUACCUGGCCUAAUACUGACACUGAGGCACGAAAGCGUGGGGAGCAAACAGGAUUAGAUACCCCGGUAGUCC
rnacentral:rRNA from 1 species